CUGCAUGGCUUUGCAUGGCGUAGUAUGUACUCUUCCCUUGAGAACUUCAUAUCUACAGGUUCCCUCCUAAGGAUGAUCCUUCCUGGUGGCUUCUGUUUACAACAAUGCCACGCCAAGCAGUUAACACUACUUCGUAAAGGAAGACUCCACUCCUUGACCUUCGCAUUCUUGACCCAUAAUGCAAUGUGCUUCCACAAUCUCUAUCAUUUCCAGACAUCACCCUUCCUGGGAAAUGCUGACAAGUACGGACUGUGCUAAAGGGUGGAGGCUGUCUUUCACCUCCUGCCACCAACAGCUUAUUUGAGGAGAGUUUAAGAAAGAAGAUUUUACCAGAAAAGUUCCAAUUUCAUGUGCCUCUUUAUAUGCUUUUUCUGCUUCUUAUGUAGUCUCCAAAUUUGAAUGACAGUCUUCCUAACUAGUAACCUUGGAGGAAUAUAGGAGACCAAGUGAGGAAGCUAUCAAAUAAUUUCUUAACAUCAACAUUAUUGAAACAUAGUAACUCAUUGUUUUACAUUGGAGGCUAAAUAGAAUGAUAUGUUUUAAAAUGGCUAUCUCCAUGGGCUUAUUUUUUUUUUCUCAUCUGAUAAGUGGAUUCAAUGAUUUCCAAGAUUUUGUUUUCAACUCUGUGAUUCUAUGGUCUCUGGAUACUGUAGUUCCAACCUUCAAGAGAAGAGCACAUCUAAUUAAAGUUCGAGACAGCGCCAAAAGAUUAGCAGCUACG
rnacentral:lncRNA from 1 species